rnacentral:rRNA from 1 species
AUAUUGGACAAUGGGGGCAACCUGAUUCAGCCACGCCGCGUUUGGGAAGAAGGUCUUCGGGUUGUAAAGCACUUUAAGGUGGGAGGAAGGGCUUUAGGGUAAUACCCUGACAUUUUGACGCUUCCAUACGUAUAAACCCCGGGCUACUCUGUUGCAGCAACCGCGGUAAUACAGAGGGUGCAAGCGUUAAUCGGAAUUACUGGGCGUAAAGCGCGCGUAGGUGGUUCAGUAAGAUGGGUGUGAAAUCCCCGGGCUUAACCUGGGAACUGCUUUCAUAACUGCUGAGCUAGAGUACGGUAGAGGGUAGUGGAAUUUCCUGUGUAGCGGUGAAAUGCGUAGGUAUAGGAAGGAACACCAGUGGCGAAGGCGACUACCUGGACUGAUACUGACACUGAGGUGCGAAAGCGUGGGGAGCAAAC